UACAGAGGUCUCAAGCGUUGUUCGGAUCCAUUGGGCGUAAAGGGUGCGUAGGCGGCGCGGUAAGUCGGGUGUGAAAUCCUGGAGCUCAACUCCAGAACUGCCUUUGAUACUGGCGAUCUCGAGUCCGGGAGAGGUGAGUGGAACUGCGAGUGUAGAGGUGAAAUUCGUAGAUAUUCGCAAGAACACCAGUGGCGAAGGCGGCUCACUGGCCCGGUACUGACGCUGAGACGCGAAAAGCCAGGGGAGCAAACGGG
rnacentral:rRNA from 1 species